rnacentral:lncRNA from 1 species
UCCAACCUGGCAUAUAAAUGCACUUAGUAUCUGAAGUUAUUUGUCAAUAACUGGUGAUCAGACUUUCAAACGAACACGUUUUUAAGGGCUGAGAAGGUGAAAGUUAGAAGUCUGCAGACUGCAACGUAAAUCAAUUUUCAACACAUGGUUUUCU